rnacentral:snRNA from 13 species
AUGCCUUAAACUAAUGAGUAAGGAAAAUAACGAGCCCGGGUAACGACGGGCUCCCAGACUACCGUUCUGGAAGAAUUUCUACAGGGGCACAGGUCGCCCCCAUGGUGACCCACCUACUUCGUGGGAUGCCUGGGUUGAGUGAUCUGCCCU